GACGAACGCUGGCGGCGUGCUUAACACAUGCAAGUCGAACGGUGAAGCGCCUUCCUUUUUGGUGGGUGUGGAUGAGUGGCGAACGGGUGAGCAACACGUGAGUAACCUGCCCCCUUCUUCUGGAUAACCGCAUGAAAGUGUGGCUAAUACGGGAUAUUCUGGGUCUGUCGCAUGAUGGGUCUGGGAAAGAUAUUGUUUCGGUGGGGGAUGGGCUCGCGGCCUAUCAGCUUGUUGGUGGGGUGAUGGCCUACCAAGGCGGUGACGGGUAGCCGGCCUGAGAGGGUGGACGGUCACACUGGGACUGAGACACGGCCCAGACUCCUACGGGAGGCAGCAGUGGGGAAUAUUGCACAAUGGGCGCAAGCCUGAUGCAGCGACGCCGCGUGAGGGAUGGAGGCCUUCGGGUUGUGAACCUCUUUCGCCAGUGAAGCAGGCCUGCCUCGUUUGUGGGUGGGUUGACGGUAGCCGGAUAAGAAGCGCCGGCUAACUACGUG
rnacentral:rRNA from 1 species